rnacentral:rRNA from 1 species
UUCACAUGUUCACAUGAUUAAAGGUAUUCCGGUAGACGAUGGGGAUGCGUUCCAUUAGAUAGUAGGCGGGGUAACGGCCCACCUAGUCUUCGAUGGAUAGGGGUUCUGAGAGGAAGGUCCCCCACAUUGGAACUGAGACACGGUCCAAACUCCUACGGGAGGCAGCAGUGAGGAAUAUUGGUCAAUGGGCGCAGGCCUGAACCAGCCAAGUAGCGUGAAGGAUGACUGCCCUAUGGGUUGUAAACUUCUUUUAUAAAGGAAUAAAGUCGGGUAUGUAUACCCGUUUGCAUGUACUUUAUGAAUAAGGAUCGGCUAACUCCGUGCCAGCAGCCGCGGUAAUACGGAGGAUCCGAGCGUUAUCCGGAUUUAUUGGGUUUAAAGGGAGCGUAGAUGAAUGUUUAAGUCAGUUGUGAAAGUUUGCGGCUCAACCGUAAAAUUGCAGUUGAUACUGGAUAUCUUGAGUGCAGUUGAGGCAGGCGGAAUUCGUGGUGUAGCGGUGAAAUGCUUAGAUAUCACGAAGAACUCCGAUUGCGAAGGCAGCCUGCUAAGCUGCAACUGACAUUGAGGCUCGAAAGUGUGGGUAUCAAACAGGAUUAGAUACCCUGGUAGUCCACACGGUA